UCUGAGGGACAGGAGGGUUUUCAGGCACCUUGGGACCAGUUCCAUGGCCAGUGUAGGUCUUUUGUGGGUCCUGAGGCGGUUGGUAAACUUGAGGGUUCUGAGGAGGAGGCACAUAGACCUGAGGGUUUGAUGGUAGUGGAACAUUUUGUUUCUGAGGGACAGGAGGAUUUUCAGGCACCUUGGGACCGGUAUCAUGGCCAGUGUAGGUCUUUUGUGGGUCCUGAGGCGGUUGGUAAACUUGAGGGUUCUGAGGAGGAGGCACAUAGACCUGAGGGUUUGAUGGUGGUGGAACAUUUUGUUUCUGAGGGACAGGAGGGUUUUCAG